rnacentral:rRNA from 1 species
CCUACGAGAGGCAGCAGUGGGGAAUAUUGCACAAUGGGGGAAACCCUGAUGCAGCGACGCCGCGUGAAGGAAGAAGUAUUUCGGUAUGUAAACUUCUAUCAGCAGGGAAGAAAAUGACGGUACCUGACUAAGAAGCCCCGGCUAACUACGUGCCAGCAGCCGCGGUAAUCCGUAGGGGGCAAGCGUUAUCCGGAUUUACUGGGUGUAAAGGGAGCGUAGGCGGUUUAGCAAGUCAGAAGUGAAAGCCCGGGGCUCAACUCCGGGACUGCUUUUGAAACUGUUGAACUAGAUUGCAGGAGAGGUAAGUGGAAUGCCUAGUGUAGCGGUGAAAUGCGGAGAUAUCAGGAGGAACACCGGUGGCGAAGGCGGCCUGCUGGACUGCGACUGACGUUGAGGCCCGAAAGCGUGGGGAGCAAACAGGAUUAGAUACCCCUGUAGUC